UGAGGCGGGUCCGCUCCUCGCUGUCCUGUUCACAUCCGGACGCCGGCCUCUCACCCACAUUCAUUUCCUCAACGAGUCCAGCAGCAGCAGAAUGAGCUUCAUCCACACACUCACCUCUGCCCACGCCCUUGCGCAGCUCUUUGUCCUGAAUGAAUCCUGCAAACAUCUGAGUUUCCAUGAAGAGCUGCAGGAACUGGCGGACUCCACGGGACGGGUGAGAUUUGCGGAAGCUGUCACGCUGUAGCUCCCUGCUCCCGUUGGACGACUCGACCAUGUGGAGAGGAUAGUGGCCCACCAGCUCCACGAAUAACCGCACGAAACCCUCGGACACCAAAGAGCUCAGGUCGGCCUGAUGAUCUGGACGGGGCAGAGUUUGAAAAGAAGAUCAACGGAUUGAAAACAGAGAAAUGUUCUGUAGCUUUACAAUCACUUUAUAUAACAUGUAUAUGUUUCAUAACUUCCUAUGAGGGCUUAGAUAGUUUAACACUUUUGCUUAAAAGAUUUACUGACUUAAUAUGAACUUUUAAACAUUUUUUUUUUUACAUGCACAAACGGCAGCUAACCUGUAGAAGAGGUGGCAUCAUGAAUUCAUAGUUACAGUAUAAGAGCUGAUGCAGCCGAUGAUAUACUGUUGUGUCUGCUAAUCCACAAAAUCAGUGACUGAAGAUGUUGAAAACCUGACUGCCUUAAAGCAUCUUUCUGUUAUACAAACCUCCACCUCUGUCUCCAUCCUCCUGUCUCAGGAUCUCUUCCCUCUCCUCCAGGAUCUGCAGCAGCGCCGCCUGCAGCUUACUGGGCAGGAUGCAGUCCUCAUCGCCAAGCUGUCCAAACAUCACAAGUAAUGUUCAACAACAGUCACGUGAUGACCUGAAGCAAGGCUGUGCACAUUUCUUAUUGUCUCAACAGACUAGUGGUGGAAUCUGGUAUUUCAUACCUAGACACUAUUUUCUACAUAUUUGGGGACUACAUGAAUAAUUGGUGCUAACACAUAUGAGUUUGCUGCACUUGAUUGUUCAGGAUGGAGCUGUGAGACAGACCGAGUUUGCUGCAAUUUAAUCUUUUGUUGCAGAUGCACCAAAAACGUCACCGUAAGUCUGAUAGAAGUGUUUGUUUUAGUCACACUGGCUCCGAUUGAUGAUAGAAGGUGUGUCAAAACAGUAAAAGAAAACAUCCCUAAUCAAUCAAUGAGUCUAUGUUCGUCUUGAUUUGCUAAUUUAUAACAAAAUUUUGAUCUAAACACUAUAAAAAUAGCAAGUCUAGACAUCUUUCUUUUGAUGAAGCCACCAGAUUCCAUUGAGAAAAACAGAGAUUUGAUCUUUACGGUUACUGACCUAUUGCUGCCAUGACCAGGUCAAGUAUUUUGUGUCCUUAUAUAACUGAAGUUUUAUAGAGUUUGUCUGGAUCUAAUACAUGAGAUAUUACUUAAACUAACCAGUUGAGUCAGUGUUUAAGCAGGAACUUGUUUUUAGAAUGACUGUUUUUGUCUAUGGGAGGCAAACAUCUGUUUCUGGUUAAAUAAGGGUUCUUGCCUUAAAGCUCCUGUAAGGAGUUUUUAGCCAGUUAUGAAACAAUCUGAACUAAGUACUGCUGCUUCUUUAGGAGCUACAAGAGCAACGUGUGUUUACUGUAUGGAUUAUGUACUGUAUGUAAUGUUGUGAGAUACUUUGAUAUAAAAUCACCUAAUGGACUCGC